rnacentral:tRNA from 14 species
ACGGUAGAUGACAAAUUGGCUCGUCGCUCCUUUUGGGUAGGAGAUAUAUAGCGUGUUCGAAUCGCGCCUACCGUA